UACGUAGGGUGCAAGCGUUAAUCGGAAUUACUGGGCGUAAAGCGUGCGCAGGCGGUUUUGUAAGUUUGUCGUGAAAGCCCCGGGCUCAACCUGGGAAUUGCGAUGAAGACUGCAAGGCUUGAAUCUGGCAGAGGGGGGUAGAAUUCCACGUGUAGCAGGUGAAAAUGCGUAGAGAUGUGGAGGAACACCGAUGGCGAAGGACAGCUCCUGGUCAAGAUUGACGCUCAUGCACGAAAGCGUGGGGAGAAACAGGA
rnacentral:rRNA from 1 species